GACGAACGCUGGCGGCGUGCUUAACACAUGCAAGUCGGACGGAAAGGCCCUGCUUUUGUGGGGUGCUCGAGUGGCGAACGGGUGAGUAACACGUGAGUAACCUGCCCUUGACUUUGGGAUAACUUCAGGAAACUGGGGCUAAUACCGGAUAGGAGCUCCUGCUGCAUGGUGGGGGUUGGAAAGUUUCGGCGGUUGGGGAUGGACUCGCGGCUUAUCAGCUUGUUGGUGGGGUAGUGGCUUACCAAGGCUUUGACGGGUAGCCGGCCUGAGAGGGUGGCCGGCCACAUUGGGACUGAGAUACGGACCAGACUCCUACGGGAGGCAGCAGUGGGGAAUAUUGCACAAUGGGCGGAAGCCUGAUGCAGCAACGCCGCGUGCGGGAUGACGGCCUUCGGGUUGUAAACCGCUUUCGCCUGUGACGAAGCGUGAGUGACGGUAAUGGGUAAAGAAGCACCGGCUAACUACGUG
rnacentral:rRNA from 1 species